ACUACGGGAGGCAGCAGUGAGGAAUAUUGGUCAAUGGUCGGGAGACUGAACCAGCCAAGCCGCGUGAGGGAUGAAGGUACAGAGUAUCGUAAACCUCUUUUGUCAGGGAACAAAGGCGGGGACGUGUCCCCGGAUGAGUGUACCUGAAGAAAAAGCAUCGGCUAACUCCGUGCCAGCAGCCGCGGUAAUACGGAGGAUGCGAGCGUUAUCCGGAUUUAUUGGGUUUAAAGGGUGCGGAGGGGGUUCGUUAAGUCAGGCGUGAAAGCCCGGGGCUCAACCCCGGGCCCGCCGUUGAAACUGGCAGUCUCGAGUUGGAGAGAAGUAUGCGGAAUGCGCGGUGUAGCGGUGAAAUGCAUAGAUAUCGCGCAGAACUCCGAUUGCGAAGGCAGCAUGCCGGCUCCACACUGACGCUGAGGCACGAAAGCGUGGGUAUCGAACAGGAUUAGAUACCCGAGUAGUC
rnacentral:rRNA from 1 species